CCUACGGGGGGCAGCAGUGGGGAAUAUUGGACAAUGGGCGAAAGCCUGAUCCAGCCAUGCCGCGUGUGUGUAGAAGGCCUUCGGGUUGUAAAGCACUUUCAGUGGGGAAGAAAGCCUUGGGGCUAAUACCCUCGAGGAAGGACAUCACCCACAGAAGAAGCACCGGCUAACUCCGUGCCAGCAGCCGCGGUAAUACGGAGGGUGCGAGCGUUAAUCGGAAUUACUGGGCGUAAAGCGCGCGUAGGCGGUCUGAUAAGCCGGUUGUGAAAGCCCCGGGCUCAACCUGGGAACGGCAUCCGGAACUGUCAGGCUAGAGUGCAGGAGAGGAAGGUAGAAUUCCCGGUGUAGCGGUGAAAUGCGUAGAGAUCGGGAGGAAUACCAGUGGCGAAGGCGGCCUUCUGGACUGACACUGACGCUGAGGUGCGAAAGCGUGGGUAGCAAACAGGAUUAGAUACCCGAGUAGUC
rnacentral:rRNA from 1 species